rfam:Candidatus Nanopusillus sp. Nst1 Nst1_C2, whole genome shotgun sequence.
GCCGCGGUGCCCGAGUGGCCCAAGGGGAUGGAUUGCUAAUCCAUUCCCCGAAAGGGGGCGUGGGUUCAAAUCCCACCCGCGGCG